rnacentral:rRNA from 1 species
CACUACUCCCUGUGCGUCUGCCCUCCACGAACUAAUGCGUAGAUAUAGGGAAGGAACCACCAGGUCGGACGGAAGGGCCGAACCCACCGGUCGGGACUUAAACUUACGUAGAACCACUAGGAGGUCGAACGAAAGCGGGUAGGGGAGACCAAACGAGGUAAGUUAGAACCUUACCCGUAGGGUUACGUACCCACCGGAACCCGGUAAAACGAUUGGUCCGAACGUACGUCCGGGUUGGGCCUUCCGUUAGAGAGUACUUAGGUGGCGACACGACUACGCUAAUUAGACCGACCNCGGUGGGAGUACCGGCCAGUAAAGUUAACACAAGAUAUCGGAGGGGCCCGCACAAGCGGUGGAGCAUGUGGUUUAAUUCGAAGCAACGCGAAGAACCUUACCAGGCCUUGACAUGCGUCGACGCGGCCG